GUGCCAGCAGCCGCGGUACUACCGGCGGCCCAAGUGAUGGCCAAUCUUAUUGGGCCUAAAGCGUCCGUAGCUGGCCGCGCAAGUCCGUCGGGAAAUCCAUCAGCCCAACUGAUGGGCGUCCGGCGGAAACUGCACGGCUUGGGACCGGAAGACUCGAGAGGUACGUCCGGGGUAGGAGUGAAAUCCCGUAAUCCCGAACGGACCACCGAUGGCGAAAGCAUCUCGAGAAAACGGAUCCGACAGUGAGGGACGAAAGCUAGGGUCUCGAACCGGAUUAGAUACUCCAGUAGUCC
rnacentral:rRNA from 1 species